AUUCUCAUUUCUCUGCUAUGCUAUUAUCUUGAAUUAUGUGUUAGCUAAAGUCAGAUAUAGCAAAAAACAGACCACACACAAAUGAAUCAUACCUGUUCUCAUGAGCUGAUCAAUGAGGAAUAUCAAUGUGCUCAGGUGCCAAGACACUAUGAUCGGUAGCUCUUUUGUUCAGGGAGUUUCAGGAGGAGAGAGGAAGCGUGUCUGUAUUGGCAAUGAGAUUAUAAUCAACCCUUCUCUUUUGUUUCUUGAUGAACCAACCUCUGGCCUGGAUUCUACAACUGCUUUGAGGAUCAUUCAAAUCUUACAAGACAUAGCUGAGGGCCACAGGUUGUACAAAUCAUCAACAAAUCACCUAGACAAUGAGAGAACACAUGAAGUAAAUUAUAUGCUUAUUUUAAACAUCUGAGCAUAAACAACACAUGGAGUAAACCAUAUGGGGGAGGAAAUGACUGAGAGAUAUAUGACUCAGAGUGAACAGUGGGUCACACAGGUCAGCUUUAUAUUUUAG